GGCAGUGUAUGGCCGCCCUCCCCAGCCGCCCGUGCUUGCCCAGGUCCUCCCGCGCCGGAAUCUACAACAACCUUCGCCAGGGUCGCCUGGGCUCCAUCUUUGGCUCACACGUGACUCUGUCUCCGCCUCUGUUUCCUGUCCGGGGGCUUCCGGUUCGGGAGCCGCUAAACUGCGGACUCGCGAGAUUACUGGGCUUCUGAACUUUGCAUCUCCUAGAGAAGGAAUCAGCUGACCAUGUUUAUAAAGUGCCAUCUUGAUGUCCUGGAAAACACAAAAUUCCAGAGUCAUAAUAGCUAACUACACUAAUAUUAAAUAAAACUUUAUAAAACUA